rnacentral:ncRNA from 1 species
UAAUGGGCAAACCCGCCGAAAGGCGGCGACGCAAAGCUGUGAAUCUACGGCCGGAAGGUUAGGAUCGUCCAGCUGCAA